rnacentral:rRNA from 1 species
UACGGAGGAUGCAAGCGUUAUCCGGAUUUAUUGGGUUUAAAGGGUGCGCAGGUUGUUUGAUAAGUCAGUGUGAAAGUCUGUCGCUUAAUGGUAGGAUUGCCAUUGAUACUGUUGGACUUGAAUAUGAUGAGGUAGGCGGAAUGUGUAGUGUAGCGGUGAAAUGCAUAGAUAUUACACAGAACACCGAUUGCGAAGGCAGCUUACUAAUCCAUCAUUGACACUGAGGCACGAAAGCGUGGGGAUCAAA